rnacentral:misc_RNA from 1 species
GUUAAACGUGGCUGUGGAUUUUCUUGUACAAAUAAUGGUUAUCCAUCAGAGGACGAAACUAGCAUACACGAAGGGAAAAAAAUAAAGCUGGUAACUCUAGCUUGGCAGGGAAAGGGAAAUGAUGAUUCUUCUGAAGUAAUCAAGUUACCAGUGGCUUAUGAGCUUCCUCCAAAACCGUAUUCCCUUGAAGAUAUUCCUUGGUCCUGGGAUCGUCGAUAUACCAAGAAAGACAUAUAUGGACAAGUUUGGCCCAGAUAAGUAAAGCUAUACACCAACCAGGGCUCCUGAUGUUUCAAAUGAUGGGAUCGAUGUGCUAGGUGAAACGUUAAUAAAUGAUUGACACUAGCUAGAUUAGAGUUCUUGAUUCUGUAUAUAUGUAGGCAUGAAUCUUUAGAAUGUUGGUAACCAUUUAUGAGCUGGUUUUUCCAUAUAAAUUGAUGAUUUUUUUCAUCAGUUGGCUCUAAUUGGAGUUCUUGUUUCUG